UGGGGAAUCUUGGACAAUGGGCGCAAGCCUGAUCCAGCAAUGCCGCGUGGGUGAUGAAGCCUUCGGGUUGUAAAGCCCUUUUGGCGGGGACGCGGUACCCGCCGAAUAAGCUCCGGCUAACUUCGUGCCAGCAGCCGCGGUAAUACGAAGGGAGCUAGCGUUGUUCGGAAUUACUGGGCGUAAAGGGCGCGUAGGCGGUUUCGAUAGUCAGGCGUGAAAUCCCCAGGCUCAACCUGGGAAUUGCGCUUGAUACUGCGAGACUUGAGUGAGGGAGAGGAUAGUGGAAUUCCCAGUGUAGAGGUGAAAUUCGUAGAUAUUGGGAAGAACACCAGUGGCGAAGGCGGCUAUCUGGACCUCAACUGACGCUGAGGCGCGAAAGCGUGGGAGCAAACAGGAUUAGAUACCCUAGUAGU
rnacentral:rRNA from 1 species